CCUCUGUCAAAUUUGAAAUUUUUCAACCCUACCCGGCUAUCCCUACAUUCUCCUUACUCUGUUGUUUAUCGUUUCUGAUCCUCCCCAAAUGAUAGAUUUAUCAUCCCGCUUUUGUUCUCUACCACAUUUAACGACGGCAUCAUCUCAGCGGUAGUGGCUCAGCGAUGACAUUUUGGUCUUGAGAGGGAUCCACCUGAAGUAGUAGUGGAUAUCAGGUCUGAUGAGAAGUUUGUGAUAGAUUUGAAUUAAAGGGUUAUCAGGGAUGUGGAAUCGAUUAUGAAACCAUGGGGUGGUUCAGAGGGAAAAUUAAUUGGUUUAUUGGUUCAUUGUUCAGAAAAAAAAACGUCUGAGGCGUCUGUAUUGAGGUGCGUCUCGAGGCAAGACGGGGAAAUCGUUUUUGAGGCGGCGCAUCGCUGGUUAAUUAUGUUUCGCAUACCCCAAUAGUAUUGACAAAAGAGAUCACUCUUGCAGUGUCAUUCUUGAUUCAUUUGAGCUUUGUUAAUUAGUUUCACUGGUAUAAUCGUUGUUUUUGUUCAUCACCGGUUCAUGAGAUGGAUUCCAAGAUUUUGAAGAACUAGAGGUAUGCAAGGAAGCACAUGAAAUAGAGUGGGAAAAUUUCUAUAGAAGAAUAUAUGUUUUCAGACUUUGACAGCUCUAGCAACUUCCUUUCAUGCGCUACAACCUUUGACAGAUUCUAUAUCUCGCUUUGUAUGGGUUAAGUUACUAAGUGACAUAAAAUUCCAGCCAAAACCAUGAGUAGAAAUGGUCAGAAGAGGUGGCCAUAGUUCCAACAUUUGAUGGUAGAAAUGUUUAACAGAGCCUUUCUUGAGGAACACUGAACUUGUAUCUUUACCAGAAUCAUACCAUCUGACAGACAUCAACAAAGCUUGGAGGCUCUGAUGUGGAGAGCUAUCAAACAACUAUCACUUGAAGAUCAAGACGAGUAGAAUAUUCUCUUUAUUAUUAGGAUGUUAUAUGUUGAUGUUAUAUAAUAACUAUUAGGAUGUUAUAUGUUGAUGGUCUAUUUAUAAAAUUGGUUUUAUAAUCUUAUUUGGGAUAUUAGGACCAUUUUCUUGAUAUUAAAGUAGCUAUAACGUU
rnacentral:lncRNA from 1 species